rnacentral:rRNA from 1 species
UACGUAGGGGGCAAGCGUUGUCCGGAAUCAUUGGGCGUAAAGCGCGUGUAGGCGGCUUGGUAAGUCCGCUCUGAAAGCCCGGGGCUCAACCCCGGGAGGCGGGUGGAUACUGUCAAGCUCGAGUCCGGAAGAGGCGAGUGGAAUUCCCGGUGUAGCGGUGAAAUGCGCAGAUAUCAGGAGGAACACCGAUAGCGAAGGCAGCUCGCUGGGACGGUACUGACGCUGAGGUGCGAAAGCGUGGGGAGCGAACAGG